UACGUAGGGCGCAAGCGUUGUCCGGAAUUAUUGGGCGUAAAGAGCUCGUAGGCGGCUUGUCGCGUCGGAUGUGAAAGCUCGGGGCUUAACCCCGGGUCUGCAUUCGAUACGGGCAGGCUAGAGUGUGGUAGGGGAGAUCGGAAUUCCUGGUGUAGCGGUGAAAUGCGCAGAUAUCAGGAGGAACACCGGUGGCGAAGGCGGAUCUCUGGGCCAUUACUGACGCUGAGGAGCGAAAGCGUGGGGAGCGAACAGG
rnacentral:rRNA from 1 species